rnacentral:SRP_RNA from 1 species
AAACUCACUAGCACGGGGAACUAGGCGUACCCUCUCCUUCGGGAGGUCAAAUCGUCUAUAUGGUCGUGCGAAUGCCGGUGGGCGGCGCAUCCAGGAGGUCCUUGGAGCCUUGGACAACCUAUGAAGCAACGUCCUCGGGGCCGAAGGUGGUCAAGGGGCCAGCCGGAGGGCGGGCCUCUUUCCUCUGAUACGGGGACUGGGUCAGGCCCGGAAGGGAACAGCCUAACCGUAUACUCUCGGUGUCCGGGGAGUCACGGGGCUGAGAGCGUCCUUGGGUUACUCCCUGGAUCGACCUUGGCGUCCACCACCGGAUGUGGGCCC